AAACUUGUGAUUGAAUUUUCAAUUAGCACUAAAAUUAAAUUCCAUUCUUGGCCAAUCCCACUUUUACCCUGAAAAAAUAUAUAAUAUAAUAAAUUCAAUUGAAAAUUCUGCCCAACUUCUUGUUCUUUAUUCAUAGCAUCAUGUGCUGCUAUUCAUUAUCAUCCAGAAAAUUACAUUGAAAACUGCAGAAAAUUUAUAAAGAAAGGCCGUUCCUUAUCUAAG
rnacentral:lncRNA from 1 species